CUUGAUAUGUUCCAUCUGCUUCGCAUGGCUCUGCAGUUCCGAACAGCCUUUGUAGCGCCAUCUUCUCGUGUUUUUGGAAGAGGUGAACUUGUCAUAGAUCCUGCACAGAUAGCUGCCAGAUACCUGCAGCGGUAUUUCAUUGUUGAUUUCCUCUCCAUUUUGCCACUUCCCCAGGUAAAUAAUGAAACAAACUGUAGCACGUCCCUAUUUGCACAUUAUUUAUUAGCCUUUCAUUAUUCAGAUCAUAUUGGUAACGAAGAAGAAACAGUUAUCAUCUCUCUUUUAUAUUUUAUGCAGAUUGUGGUAUGGAAAUAUCUCCACAACAAGAAGAAGGGUUCAGAAGUGUUGGCAACAAAACAGGCACUGUUGUACAUAGUGUUCCUUCAAUACAUACCUAGGUUUACUCGCUUCUUCCCUCUUAUAUCAGACCUCAAAAAGACGGCAGGUGUCUUUGCGGAUAGUGCCUGGGCUGGUGCAGCCUACUACCUCCUCUGGUACCUGCUAGCUAGCCACGUAAGUAUCAUAGUUACUUAUACCAGACCUCAUAAAAAGUUCAUUUGCUCGGUGAAGAAGAAAAAUUUAUGCAGUUUAUCUAUUAAUAACCUUGGUUGGAGAAACAGAUAGCUGGGGCGUUUUGGUACUUGCUUGCCGUGGAGAGAAAAGACACGUGUUGGAGGAAAGCAUGCCUGGAGAGCGGGAAAUGCAACAUAGACUACCUCUAUUGUGGGAACAAGGUGCUUCCAGGUUUCCAUAAAUGGAGAAGGGUCAGCAAUAACGUUCUUGGUCGUUCCUGCGGUGUUGUUGAUGAUAACUCCAAGUUCAACUAUGGCAUAUACAUGCAGGCUAUGUCCUCAGACAUUGUUGGUUCCAGGGUCUUCGUCUCCAAGUUCUUCUACUGCUUGUGGUGGGGCCUGCAGAACUUGAGGUACCAUAUUUACAAUUCCCUUUUAGAAUGAUCAACAAAAUAUACUACCACCUGAAAAGGAAAACAAAUAGGAAAAGAAGUUUUGAUGAUAGUCAACUCACAGUUAAUAUCUCAUUUUCUGUUUCAUGAAGCACACUUGGUCAGGGUCUCCAAACCAGUACCUACCCUUUGGAGGUUAUCUUUUCCAUUUCACUAGCCAUUUCCGGUCUCAUUCUCUUUGCUCUUCUCAUUGGAAACAUGCAGGUGAUCAAACAUUACUGUCCUUAUGUACAUUCAGAUUAAUCAGAAGUUGUAUGUGGUAUUGGAAAUAACAAGAUGUAAUAAAAAGGUGUUUCUUGUUUUCUCAUUGGGUUGCUGCAGACUUACCUCCAGUCUCUGACUGUUCGUCUAGAGGAGAUGAGGAUCAAAAGGCGCGAUUCGGAGCAAUGGAUGCAUCACCGGCUGCUGCCUCAGGAUCUCAGAGAGCGGGUAAGACGCUAUGAUCAGUACAAAUGGCUUGAAACUCGGGGAGUUGAUGAAGAAACUCUGGUCCAAAGUCUGCCAAAAGAUCUUAGGAGAGACAUCAAACGCCAUCUUUGUCUUAACUUAGUCAGAAGGGUAAGGAAUGAAACAAUUUUCACCUGUGUUCUCUUCGGAUAAUGCUUUUUAACAGUUACUCCAGUUUAACCAAAACUUGUCUACUUUGCAGGUCCCUCUGUUUGCCAAUAUGGACGAGAGGCUCCUUG
rnacentral:lncRNA from 1 species